CCGUGAUUAGGCCACGCCCCCUGCCUGUCUGUUCUCUACCUGCCUAGUCUACUCCUGCGAAAUCCUUUGGGCCUGGUCUCUCCACCCCCCUCCCCAGCUGCUUGAAUACAGUUAAUAGAAGCUGCACACCACCUACCUUGAUGCCACAGUCAGUUGCAGCCACCCCCCCUUCUUGAUGCUGCCGUCAGAAACUCCCGCGGCCAUUGACAGCCGACCUCCCUGCGAUCCCCCCUCAGUAUAUUGCACCCACAGGCAACUUCCAGUUCAUGUGUAUAGCUCCACCCCCACCCAGGCACAAACUUUUCAUGAGGUUUUCUCGGCUUACAAACCUCCUGGCUGGCCGGGUGAUGGGUUGUGUUGCUGCUGAGUCUUCCCUCCUUCAACCCCGACUCCUGACAGCCACAGGCACAGCCCGCAGGACAGACGCCGCUGGAUGGCGUGACCUGAUGACACCACUGGAAGUCCGACGGGGUUGUCAGCCUGCAUGUCUCAGUGAAUGUCUGACGGCGGGAGAUCCCAGCUGCACUGUAUCAGGGUACCACAAAGGCACAAAGGAUCUGUGGUUACUAUCAAACCCUACAAAGGCAUUUAAAUAUAAUGGGGCAUAUGUAAUAGGGUUCUGAAUUUGCCGGAUACCGGUAGAUCUCGGAGGGUUUUUUAAA